AACUCGGAAGAAUAUUACAGAGCAGAUAAUCUUGAGGUUACGUCAGAUGGCAAAGAGAUCGUUGCCCAAACAGUUUGGAACUUGCUAAACGAACAAUUCAAGACUGUAGUCAAAAUUUCGACAUCUGGUCAUUGGUUGUUUCAACACUUUGCUUCAAACGGACAAGUCGAAGAAAGUCAAUAACUGGUAGGUGAAAACAGAAGGGUCCCACUCGAUUC